AAACAACGAUAUCAACAAUGACAAAUGACACCAAUCCAACAAUACUGACCUUUACCCGACAGACCCGAUAUCGAGUUGGCAUCCCCACGCUAGUAUCCAUAACAGAAACGCCAAACAAACAACACCAACAUCAACGUUAAUAGCACCAACGACCUACUAUCCAGCAACCCAAGAUUUUGACCCGAACUCAACCCAUCGACCUGUGUAAACUAUAGAUCAGCCACUACUAUUUAAAAUUUCACCCCGUACUGAAUGGUACGAUUGCCAGCUCGACAAAUCUCUAUUCUCAAUUUCAAAAUUCGAAUUCCUCUUCCUAAAAUAUCAAAAUUACCCUUCAAUUUUUCUAAUCCCAUAUCAGUGGGAGCUCAAAAUAGAACCCUCAAUUCAUUCUAUGUAAAGCUCUCUUUGGAGCAAAUGGGGCAAUUCUUGAAGGUUGAGAGAAACUUUCAAGGAAAAAAGUCUAUUUUCUAGUAAAAAAAAUUAUCAUGAAAAGUCAACGAGUUUUCAGAGUCGCGGCAAAACUUUUCGGCGGUGGUCGAUUUCGUUGGUAGCUCGUAUCUCAUUUUGUUGCCUCGAAAGAGAGUCCACAAGGGACUCCCUCUCGUUGCAUAUUUUUGAAGGGGCCAGUGGAGCCUAUAUCCUCAAAACUUUAUCCAAACGUGUCCAUCAAGAUUCCUUAUGUAGUAUUUCUUGGAAGCAGUAAAGCUAAUCAUAAGAUCCACAAAUAUGUAGUACCUCAUAAAUUUAUGGUCCUUCAACAUCACCGUUGCAAGGAAAAAUUGACAUGGUGCACAUAUCUGAAAGUAUAGAUCAUACAAGACAGCAGUUUUAGGCUACUCCUGCACUAUAUUAUCAUUACUGAGUAGUCAUUGUCAUGUCAAUUAAAAGCAUAUUUGGCCUUUCAGUAUCAUCUGUUUCUUUACUAGUGAAAUGCUAAUAGUCCUUGUUUAUAAACAUCAGCUGGUUAAGCCUUCUCUUAGUUUGAGAGGACCCUAUGAUAUAGAAAUUUCAUGAUGACAUCUCUUGAUUUUACUACCUCUAUGAAUACUACACAAAAGUUACUUGAUCAUAAACAAAUGUUAUGUGUCAACAGCCUUAAGCCCA